rnacentral:misc_RNA from 1 species
UUAUCCAGGACGUGGAUAAAGAAUCCGAGUACUACGAUCAGGAGUAGCCAUGCUGCAACAGCAAUGAGGUAUGUAUUUACCCCAAGAUGGCUCACAGCCUGUAAGAUAGCACAAGCCACAAUUGCAUAUAUGGCUGAGAGCACAAAGGCAAUUCCAGCUAACAAACGCGUGGAGAUGGUCUCCACAAAAACAGUUGAGAGGAGAUUUCGUUUCAAAAGUUCGUAUGUCAUUCUUGCAGAUGAGCAGUAAGCUUCACCUGUUAUUGCUGCAAAAGUUAUUGCAAAUUUGUUCAGAUAAUCAACAGCUGCCAGAAAUGUAUUUACACAGCAACGUAAAAUAAGGUUGAACAUCCCGG